AGAGUUUGAUCCUGGCUCAGGGUGAACGCUGGCGGCAGGCCUAACACAUGCAAGUCGAACGGCAGCACAGGGAGCUUGCUCCUGGGUGGCGAGUGGCGGACGGGUGAGGAAUACAUGGGAAUCUGCCCAAUCGUGGGGGAUAACGUAGGGAAACUUACGCUAAUACCGCAUACGACCUACGGGUGAAAGCGGCGGACCGCAAGGCGUCGCGCGAUUGGAUGAGCCCAUGUCGGAUUAGCUAGUUGGCGGGGUAAAGGCCCACCAAGGCGACGAUCCGUAGCUGGUCUGAGAGGAUGAUCAGCCACACUGGAACUGAGACACGGUCCAGACUCCUACGGGAGGCAGCAGUGGGGAAUAUUGGACAAUGGGCGCAAGCCUGAUCCAGCCAUGCCGCGUGAGUGAAGAAGGCCCUCGGG
rnacentral:rRNA from 1 species